rnacentral:rRNA from 1 species
AGUACUACCUCCGUCCCGGUGUAUAAGUCAUUCGCGUAGUUCUAGGUCGAUAAUUUAACUAUCUAAAUAUGUAUUAUAUGUGACAAAAAUAUAUAUUUAAAAACUACAUCCGUGUGGAAAUCUAGUGGUAUACUUUUCAUGACAUAUAACACAUAUUUAAUUCCUUAAAUCGAUGACCUAGAACUACGCGAAUGACUUAUACACCCGGACGGAGGGAGUA